AACGAACGCUGGCGGCAGGCCUAACACAUGCAAGUCGAGCGCCCCGCAAGGGGAGCGGCGGACGGGUGAGUAACGCGUGGGAAUAUGCCCUUUGCUACGGAAUAGUCUCGGGAAACUGGGGGUAAUACCGUAUACGCCCUUUGGGGGAAAGAUUUAUCGGCGAAGGAUUAGCCCGCGUUGGAUUAGGUAGUUGGUGGGGUAAUGGCCUACCAAGCCGACGAUCCAUAGCUGGUUUGAGAGGAUGAUCAGCCACACUGGGACUGAGACACGGCCCAGACUCCUACGGGAGGCAGCAGCGGGGAAUCUUAGACAAUGGGGGCAACCCUGAUCUAGCCAUGCCGCGUGAGUGAUGAAGGCCUUAGGGUUGUAAAGCUCCUUCAGCUGGGAAGAUAAUGACGGUACCAGCAGAAGAAGCCCCGGCUAACUCCGUG
rnacentral:rRNA from 1 species